GACGAACGCUGGCGGCGUGCUUAACACAUGCAAGUCGAGCGAGGCCCCUCCUUCGGGGGGGUGUCCUAGCGGCGAACGGGUGAGUAACACGUGGGCAACCUGCCCUCAGCUCUGGGAUAACUCCGGGAAACCGGGGCUAAUACCGGAUACGACCUCCACGGGCAUCUGCGGAGGUGGAAAGUUUUUCGGCUGGGGAUGGGCCCGCGGCCUAUCAGCUAGUUGGUGGGGUAGUGGCCCACCAAGGCGACGACGGGUAGCCGGCCUGAGAGGGCGACCGGCCACACUGGGACUGAGACACGGCCCAGACUCCUACGGGAGGCAGCAGUGGGGAAUAUUGCGCAAUGGGCGAAAGCCUGACGCAGCGACGCCGCGUGAGGGACGAAGGCCUUCGGGUUGUAAACCUCUUUCAGCAGGGACGAAGCGAAAGUGACGGUACCUGCAGAAGAAGCACCGGCCAACUACGUG
rnacentral:rRNA from 1 species